rnacentral:tRNA from 1 species
GGGAGUAUAGCUCAAUCGGUAGAGCAGCAGACUUUUAAUCUGACGGUUGAGGGUUCAAGUCCCUCUACUCCCACCU